GAUGAACGCUGGCGGCGUGCCUAAUACAUGCAAGUCGAACGCUGGAGAUCUAGCUUGCUAGAUCGAAGGAGUGGCGAACGGGUGAGUAAUACAUAAGCAACCUACCCACGAAGACUGGGAUAAUCUCUGGAAACGGGGACUAAUACCGGAUAGGUAAUCGGAAGGCAUCUUCUGGUUAUUAAAGGUUAAAAACACUGGUGGAUGGGCUUAUGGCGCAUUAGUUAGUUGGUGAGGUAACGGCCCACCAAGACGAUGAUGCGUAGCCGGCCUGAGAGGGUGAACGGCCACAUUGGGACUGAGACACGGCCCAGACUCCUACGGGAGGCAGCAGUAGGGAGUUUUCGGCAAUGGGGGCAACCCUGACCGAGCAACGCCGCGUGAGUGAAGACGGCCUUCGGGUUGUAAAGCUCUGUUGUAAGGGAAGAACGGUAGAUAGAGAAUAUCUAAGUGACGGUACCUUACCAGAAAGCCACGGCUAACUACGUG
rnacentral:rRNA from 1 species